rnacentral:lncRNA from 1 species
UCUAGAAGAGUUUUUGAGCGUACAACUAGAAAUAUCAAAAGGUGUUCAAUCGAACUAUUUGUACACCUAGUAUACUCCCUUGAACCCAAUGAAAUAUUGGUUCCCAUACUCAAGCUGUGGGUGUUCAAUACUUCGGCAAAAAUGACACCAUCUCAUACUCCAAGUUAGUAGUAAAAAUGGAAAACCAAAAGCUACAAUGCAAGUGCAGCUCCAGUGCAAAUAUAAAUCCAAUUCUAGAACAUGCUCAGUCCUGGUACAACUUCAGUUGUGGCACAUCUUUAGAGCAAGUACAACCGGCGCAAGUACGGCCCCAUACAAGUAUAGCUCGUGUUAAGUAGAACCCUAGUGCAAGUGUGGAUAUGGUGGUAGCACAACAGCAGUUAAAUACAAGGAUUUCAAAAGGAAAAUUGUUUUAGGCGGGCUGGAUCGCAUUUCUACAAUUAUCGGUCCAGAGGUAUAAAGCAUCCAUCUUAAAGAUGGAUGCAAAUAGGUUGUCUAACGGUUCAAAUAUUUUUUUAAUAUAAUUAUUAUUUUUAGUUUUCAAAAAAAAAAAUUCAUAUUCAUGAUCUCUAUGUUAAAGAUUAUAUAUUAUCUAAAAAUUAGAAUCAAAUUAUAUUUCAAAUAUAUAUUUAUUGCCAUGCCUGCAUUUCGACAAUAUGCGGGAUGGCCGCAGAGAAACCAUGUCCAAUUUAAAAUAAGAACAUGGUUUACAUGAGUUCAUGUAGAAAUGAGUCCCAUCUUAAAAAUCUAUUUUUAGGAUGGAUUUCUAAACGCAAUUUUUAAGGGCAUAUAAUCUCUAAUAUGGAGAUUAUGAAUAUGAAAAAAUCAAAAAAUAACAAUUUUAUGAAUAAAACUUUUAGACCGUUAUUUCAAUUGCCUGGGAAAAACUUAACUUUUAGACCGUUAGUUUCAAUUGCUUGGGAUCGCAAAUAUAGAAAUGCAUCGG